AAAAUACCGUAAAAUUUGUGAUAUUGCCACAAAUUGCCUAUCCCCAGACAGUAGGAGAAACCUGUCUCCAUUGCUGCACUACAACUGAAUUUUUUUAAAAAAGCAAUUGUGUCUCUAACUUGCAAGUGUUCUAUAUGCAGAAGGCUUUUUAUAUGAGAGAGCAUUCCUUGAGGGGCAGAAUGUGAUGGCGACUUCACUUGGAGGUAUAUUGCAAACAAAAGCACCACCACUCUUGGCUUGUGCUGGAGGCAGAGGGACUCAGGAGCGGCGGCAGUUUCACCAGUGAUCUACCGCUGAGUAGCUGACUGUGUAGAGCUGGACCAUGUAUCUUGGCUGCUUAUUCUUUCCCGAAGGCGGGAAGAAGCAGCCAAUAUAAAUUCCAGUCGUCACGAUAUAUCAGCAUACACCGGUAUUUAGCUGCUGAUAUAUCACGAUGUUGAAAAGAAAGUAUCGCUCAGCCCUAACACUAAACUAAAUCAUCAGAUGGUGAGCUAUUCUGCUAAUCAUCGUCGCUAUUUGCAUAGCUAUUUUGCCUGUUGGACUUCCAAGAUGAGACAUGAAUCCCAAACACAUCAGGCAAGAUUCACUGCAAACCCUGCCUACAAGCAGUGGGAGAGUCCUCUAAACUUUAUAAUCUUUGAAUAAUAAUAAUAAUAAUAAAUUUUAUUUGUACCCCGCCCUCCCCGGCCAGAGCCGGGCUCAGAGCGGCUAACAUCAUAUAAAUAACACAGCAUACAUAAAAACAGGCAUCAAUUAAUUAAAAUACAUCUUAAAAUUAAUUCAGACAAAUUAAAAACUGGACCAACGGCAGUUGACAGGUUAAGACUGAGAGCAGUUAAUACUUGCCAGGACCAACUGUUUUCACAUAUAAGGACCUGUGAAGAGGCUGGGAGGCCUCCUUCGCGCUUGUUCUUAUACAAAGGAAAAUAGGUCAGACUGCAAACCCUGACCCUGACCCUGACCCUGACCCUAAGUGGACUUGCUGUUAUUCCCUUGGCUCUGUGUUUUAUUUAAAGGUGUUCCCUCUGCUGGGUAUCAGCCAAGUGGUGUAGAAGUAAAUCCUUGCCACAAUUCACUGGAAAGAUAAAUCUGCGACUCCCUUGGAAUAACAGGGAGAAGAUAGGACUACUCUUGCAAUAUAUGAACAGAUUGCUUUUAGACGUAGAUUGUGUACAGACAAGUAGAAUGGUGUUUGGAAUGCAUUGCUAUAAAGCACGGUGACGUGCUCAUAGUUUUCUACUAUUACAAUAAUCGGACUACUUCUAUAUUGCAAAGUAUCAGUUUCAAGCACUUUGCUUUGUUUUGUUUUGACCUUUCUCUGACUUUUCCCACUUCAUUGCUCUUCCAAAAAUGUUC